rnacentral:rRNA from 1 species
AUGAACCAAACGUCGAGUUAAGGGGCCUAAAUGAAUGCUCAUAAAGAUCCCAUCGAAAGGUGUUGGUUGCUAUAGACAGCAGGACGGUGGCCAUGGAAGUUGGAAUCCGCUAAGGAGUGUGUAACAACUCACCUGCCGAAGCAACUAGCCCUUAAAAUGGUAUGGCGCUCAAGCAUUCUCCCGAUACUCGACCGCCGGGGCAUUACCGGUCUGGCAAAAUACCAUUGCCAGGUCUCGAAGCCCCGGCGAGUAGGAGGGUCGCGGUGGUGUGCGCUGAAGGGUUCGGCGUGAGCCGGCCUGGAGCCUCCACUGGUGCAGAUCUUGGUGGUAGUAGCAAAUAAUCGAGAGAGACUCCCUUGAAGGCCGAUGUGGAGAAGGGUUCCA